rnacentral:rRNA from 1 species
UACGGAGGGUGCUAGCGUUGUUCGGAAUUACUGGGCGUAAAGCGCGCGUAGGCGGCUUUGUAAGUUAGAUGUGAAAGCCCGGGGCUCAACCCCGGAAUAGCCUUUAAGACUGCAUCGCUAGAAUCCGGGAGAGGUGAGUGGAAUUCCGAGUGUAGAGGUGAAAUUCGUAGAUAUUCGGAAGAACACCAGUGGCGAAGGCGGCUCACUGGACCGGUAUUGACGCUGAGGUGCGAAAGCGUGGGGAGCAAACAGG